rnacentral:rRNA from 1 species
CCGGCCAGAGACCGAUAGCGCACAAGUAGAGUGAUCGAAAGAUGAAAAGCACUUUGAAAAGAGGGUUAAACAGCACGUGAAAUUGUUAAAAGGGAAGCGCUUGUGACCAGACUUGCGUCCGGUGAAUCACCCAGCUCUCGCGGCUGGGGCACUUCGCCGGCUCAGGCCAGCAUCAGCUCGCUGUCGGGGACAAAAGCUUCAGGAACGUAGCUCUCUUCGGGGAGUGUUAUAGCCUGUUGCACAAUACCCUUCGGCGGGCUGAGGUACGCGCUCCGCAAGGAUGCUGGCAUAAUGGUCAUCAGCGACCCGUCUUGAAACACGGACC